UCCAACGAGGGAUAAUAGGGAAUACGGUGAGAAUCCGUGACAAUACCUGUUGCUGUAAGUUCCAUUCCUUUAGGAAUUUAUCUGUUGCACUCUUUGCCACUGGCUUAAAAGCUGGGAAGGCGCGACAGAUGGAAUAAGUCAGAAGACCUACCUAUUGCAAUA
rnacentral:ncRNA from 1 species